rnacentral:rRNA from 1 species
CAGCCGCCACGGUAAUACGGAGGGUGCGAGCGUUAAUCGGAAUAACUGGGCGUAAAGGGCACGCAGGCGGUUAUUUAAGUGAGGUGUGAAAGCCCCGGGCUUAACCUGGGAAUUGCAUCUCAGACUGGGUAACUAGAGUACUUUAGGGAGGGGUAGAAUUCCACGUGUAGCGGUGAAAUGCGUAGAGAUGUGGAGGAAUACCGAAGGCGAAGGCAGCCCCUUGGGAAUGUACUGACGCUCAUGUGCGAAAGCGUGGGGAGCAAACAGGAUUAGAUACCCCCGUAGUCCCUGUCUCUUAUAC